UAUAUUUAAGUGUUAUUUAAAAGUUAUUUGCACUAAAGAUUUUGAAUCUUUAAGGUUUAGUUAUUAGCUAAAAAAUAUAA
rnacentral:tRNA from 1 species